GAACCCAUAGCUCAGUUGGUUAGAGCGCUACAUUGACAUUGUAGAGGUCAGAAGUUCGAAUCUUCUUGGGUUCA
rnacentral:tRNA from 1 species